rnacentral:rRNA from 1 species
UACGUAGGGGGCAAGCGUUGUCCGGAUUUAUUGGGCGUAAAGAGCGUGUAGGCGGCCAGGUAGGUCUGCUGUGAAAACUCGAGGCUCAACCUCGAGACGUCGGUUGAAACCGUAAGGCUAGAGUCCGGAAGAGGAGAGUGGAAUUCCCGGUGUAGCGGUGAAAUGCGCAGAUAUCGGGAAGAACACCCGUGGCGAAGGCGGCUCUCUGGGACGGUACUGACGCUGAGACGCGAAAGCCAGGGGAGCAAACGGG